UACGAAGGGGGCUAGCGUUGCUCGGAAUCACUGGGCGUAAAGCGCACGUAGGCGGAUUCUUAAGUCAGGGGUGAAAUCCUGGAGCUCAACUCCAGAACUGCCUUUGAUACUGAGGAGCUUGAGUCCGGGAGAGGUGAGUGGAACUCCGAGUGUAGAGGUGAAAUUCGUAGAUAUUCGGAAGAACACCGGUGGCGAAGGCGGGUCUCUGGGCCGAUACUGACGCUGAGGAGCGAAAGCGUGGGGAGCGAACAGG
rnacentral:rRNA from 1 species